rnacentral:lncRNA from 1 species
AUGAAACAAAUAUCAGUCUAGAAGAAAGAAUUACCUUACCCAAGGUAAUACAGAUCAUAAACAGAACCAAUCACCAGAGCUAUCAUCCAAGGGAUCAACCUUCGUGAAGAAGGGAUCCAUCAUUUCUACCAUCAUUGUUCCAGCCCACAGCCAUUAUCCAGGGAAACAACCUUUGUGGAGACAUGAAUUGUCAAAUGCUUCAGCAGGUGCUAUAGUCCUGGUUUCUUUAGCAGUCAUGGCUGAUCUUCGAAGACUGGAUGAGGAAACUGAGGUUCAGAAGAUUGAUCAUCAUCACACAGCCGAAGAGUGACCCUUUGGGAGAAGAGGCUUCAUCUCUUACAGUUUUUUGGAAAAGAACACCUAUUGUGAAAUCGUCAUGGAGAAAACAUUAAGUGAAACAGAUUUACCAAUUAAUCCAAAUCAGGAAUAUGCUAACAAGGCUG